GACGAACGCUGGCGGCGUGCUUAACACAUGCAAGUCGAACGGUAAGGCCCUUCGGGGUACACGAGUGGCGAACGGGUGAGUAACACGUGGGUGAUCUACCCUGCACUUCGGGAUAAGCCUGGGAAACUGGGUCUAAUACCGGAUAGGACCACUGCCUGCAUGGGUGGGGGUGGAAAGCUUUUGCGGUGUGGGAUGGGCCCGCGGCCUAUCAGCUUGUUGGUGGGGUGAUGGCCUACCAAGGCGACGACGGGUAGCCGGCCUGAGAGGGUGACCGGCCACACUGGGACUGAGAUACGGCCCAGACUCCUACGGGAGGCAGCAGUGGGGAAUAUUGCACAAUGGGCGCAAGCCUGAUGCAGCGACGCCGCGUGAGGGAUGACGGCCUUCGGGUUGUAAACCUCUUUCAGCACCGACGAAGCGCAAGUGACGGUAGGUGCGGAAGAAGGACCGGCCAACUACGUGCCAGCAGCCGCCGCUG
rnacentral:rRNA from 1 species